UACAGAGGGUGCAAGCGUUAAUCGGAAUUACUGGGCGUAAAGCGUGCGUAGACGGUUAUUUAAGUCAGGUGUGAAAGCCCCGGGCUCAACCUGGGAAUUGCAUUUGAGACUGCGUAGCUAGGGUGCGGAAGAGGGAAGCGGAAUUUCCGGUGUAGCGGUGAAAUGCGUAGAUAUCGGAAGGAACACCAGUGGCGAAAGCGGCUUCCUGGUCCAGCACCGACGUUCAGGCACGAAAGCGUGGGGAGCAAACAGG
rnacentral:rRNA from 1 species